rnacentral:rRNA from 1 species
UGGUUUACCAGACCCGGAAGGCGCGGGCCUUAGUGGCGGACGGGUGAGUAACGCGUGGGGAACCUGCCCCGUACCGGGGGAUAACACCUGGAAACAGGUGCUAAUACCGCAUAACAGAAGGGGACGCAUGUUUCUUUCUUGAAAACUCCGGUGGUACGGGAUGGACCCGCGUCUGAUUAGCUGGUUGGCGGGGUAACGGCCCACCAAGGCGACGAUCAGUAGCCGGCCUGAGAGGGCGGACGGCCACAUUGGGACUGAGACACGGCCCAAACUCCUACGGGAGGCAGCAG